UUCCUGAUUCACUAAGAAGUUGAUCAUGUGAAAAUGUUGUAUUUACCUACGAUGGAUUUCUAAGUAAGCUUGAUAAACCUGUGGUAUCUUUGUCAUUUUUCAAUUAAAACUAGGAACUAUGAAUAUCUAUAAAAACACAAGAAUAUGAAGAUCUGGAAUAUGUGAUGGAACUUGGAUAGUGGUGACACAAGGACCCUAAUUGGAGAUGGCAGCAGGUCGGGGUUUCCUCAGGCACCCAAGUUCAUCCAACCCACUUAAACCUUGUUUGUCUGCCCUUUACUCUUGUUUGAGAUGGUUCAAGCAGGAAAAUAGGUACUUGACUCAGGUUGGGCUUUAGAUUCGUGUACCUAGAUAGCGGGGUUUGGGUUCACAUACCCCAACUCAUCAUCAGGAAAAUAGGUACUUGACUCAGGUUGGGCUUUAGAUUCGUGUAC
rnacentral:lncRNA from 1 species